rnacentral:rRNA from 1 species
GAUGAACGCGGCGGCGUGCCUAAUACAUGCAAGUAGAACGCUGAAGCUUGGUGCUUGCACCGAGCGGAUGAGUUGCGAACGGGUGGGUAACGCGUAGGUAACCUGCCUCUUAGCGGGGGAUAACUAUUGGAAACGAUAGCUAAUACCGCAUAAAAGACGAUAUCGCAUGAUAUUGAUUUGAAAGGUGCAAAUGCAUCACUAAGAGAUGGACCUGCGUUGUAUUAGCUAGUUGGUGAGGUAACGGCUCACCAAGGCAACGAUACAUAGCCGACCUGAGAGGGUGAUCGGCCACACUGGGACUGAGACACGGCCCAGACUCCUACGGGAGGCAGCAGUAGGGAAUCUUCGGCAAUGGGGGCAACCCUGACCGAGCAACGCCGCGUGAGUGAAGAAGGUUUUCGGAUCGUAAAGCUCUGUUGUAAGAGAAGAACGAGUGUGAGAGUGGAAAGUUCACACUGUGACGGUAACUUACCAGAAAGGGACGGCUAACUACGUGCCAGCAGCCGCGGUAAUACGUAGGUCCCGAGCGUUAUCCGGAUUUAUUGGGCGUAAAGCGAGCGCAGGCGGUUAGAUAAGUCUGAAGUUAAAGGCUGUGGCUUAACCAUAGUACGCUUUGGAAACUGUUUAACUUGAGUGCAGAAGGGGAGAGUGGAAUUCCAUGUGUAGCGGUGAAAUGCGUAGAUAUAUGGAGGAACACCGGUGGCGAAAGCGGCUCUCUGGUCUGUAACUGACGCUGAGGCUCGAAAGCGUGGGGAGCAAACAGG